rnacentral:lncRNA from 1 species
GUACCUUGUGGCAUGCCUGCAAUGGCAAAGCAUGAACAUAGCUGCUCGAAAUCACGAGGAUGGUAGUAUGGGUUUUUGCUUUCUAACCCUGAGAAGGAUGGUUCCCGAACCAAAGCGAUAAGGUUGGGGAGAGCUCAUAGCUGGAUGUAAGGAUUAGUUGUGUAGAGGGUAGUGGCUCUAAGAACUCCCCCUUUAGGUAGAGAGGCUUUGAAAGGAUGGCUUCUCCAUGGGUAGCGGGGGUAAAGGUAGAAGGAAAGAAAAGUAAAAGAUACAAGGAUGACUAGGUACAAAGAAAGAUACAACAACCAUUCCCCAGCAACAGCACCAGAAAGCUUGUAGGUAUAAUUAACGACUACGAAUAAAUCCACAAGCGCACGAAUAUCGUUGUAGCUUUCAUCUUAGAGUAUUUCAAGGGUAUCGAAUCCGAGGGAACGUAUGUGCACUAACUUUUGUUCUAGUCGAUCCAAGGACACACCCAGAUAGGUGGCAAGGGUAGAGAGGAUUCCUAAAGAUAGCACUAUAGGUGAGUUAAAGGUCAAUCUCUC